CCUUAUUGCUUCCUCUGUUUUUCAGAUUGUUUUUCCGAAGAUGAAGUCGGUUACAGCAGUUCCUGGCACUUGGGCACAGUUGUCAAUCAAGCUACCUUAGACUUCCUGCCUUUAAACUCUUCCUCUGAGCCAGUGGUACUCUGGAAUCAAACAGACACCCAGGCUGGCAUACAGGGCAUGGGGAUGAUGGAAAGUCACUCAUGGGUGGUAUUGCGUGCCACCCAAAAGCAUCAGGGCCACUAUACCUUCAGAAACAGCGAUGGGCAAUUUCUGUCCAGAAAAAAACUGGAAGUGAAAGAACAGGUUGAGUGGUACACUCUGGAACGUGGUGAGACACUCAACAUCUAUAUCUUCCUGGACUCCACCCAGUUCAACCUCAACUAUUUUCAGGAAGGGGACCCAGAGGCCACACUUCUGAUUAGAAAGGGAAUAGAGAUGUAUGAUGAUCCCACCCGAAAUACGCUUGAGAUGUGGGAGAGCGGUUUUCGUUUCCAAAUGUCAAAUUUAGAGAACCAGGAUUCUGGCAAGUUUGAACUCAGAGACCAGGACAACAACUUGGCUUUAGUAGUUUGGCUGAAGGUAAAACCUCUUAUUCCUGUGGUGACUUACAUUUAUGUGGGAGUUUCAGUCGUUAUCCUGGUGGGUAUCUGUUGUUGUGUGAGGAAGUGCUGCUGUAAGAGGAACGCCUCCAAACGAAACGCCUCUGUUUCCACGUUGGGGCAGGUCGUGGUCCACCAAGACGAAACCUGUCACAUGACCAGUCAACCCUCAGGCCCAAGUCACGCCAGACCCCCAUAUUUUCAGAGUUAUGCUAGUGAACCGGUCGUCACAAUAUCCCCCGCAGCACCCUCCGGCCCAACGUAUCCCUACCAGCCCACUCCUCCUUCCCCCAAUCAAUCGUCCAAUGACACGCCGACCCUUAAGGAUGACCCCCACACUCAGGUGUCCACCUCCACAGGACUGGAUCCUCCUUCGUUCUCUCUGGGUUUCGACUGCCUCUCUUCGGAUUUUGAGACUCAGUUCAAGCUUUCUCAGACAUUAACCCACCACACUGACCUCUUGUCCAGCUCAGACCCUUUCUCCUCUGCAGAUGUCUACAACUCUGACAAACUGAACUUCCUGUAAAAGAAAAUACUGGAUUUGGUGGGACCCUACCACAUGUAGUUAUUUUCUUGUCUGGUCACGUCUGUUAUGUGGCCGAAUUCUAUGGAUAAGUAUGAAUUAUUUUAUAGUUCAUUUAUUGUUUAAGCAUAUGUGGGCACCUUCUAAGGAUUCUACAAGUCUACAUUGUUGAGUUUAGGAUGAGUGUAAGCCAAAUCACCAUCUCCAUUUUGAUACAUUUAUAUUUUCCACUUUUAUAUUUUUAUUCUCUGAGAAUUUGUGCCUUUUUAUCUAUUUUUUGUGCUCGAGUGGAUUAUCCAAUAUUUUGUACUGUGAGUAUUCACACCAGUGAGUGGUCACUUCUGUGAACCUAACUGCAUAUAUACAUAUCUACCUGCUUGCCUUAUAGCCCUGGUGCUGCCGGUCAUGGUUGUCUUGCCAGGCCUUUCUGACCUCAUAUAUUAUUGGACAACUCAGUGUCCCAUAUAGAAACUAUUCUAACUUUGUGUGUUGUUUUUGACUUUAAUAUAUUAUUAUAAAGAUGACUUAGCUUCUUUGUCUACCUCUGAAAAACAAUAAAACUAAGCGCUAAUACCUAUCACUGUUGUUUUUCAGUAAAAAAAGUAGAAAAUAUAUAGUGCAUGAUUAUGAAAGUAGCCUACUGAUAUCAAAUAUAUUGUCUCAUAAUAGGUUUUAUCUGUUACCGUUGUUUUGUGCGAUUAAAUAGUGCUA